rnacentral:rRNA from 1 species
AUGGAGCCGAGACGAGCGAUCCACCGCAGAUCCGGCGCGCUCCUGCUCCUCUUCGCCGCUGUCUUCGCGGCGGCCGCCGGCGCCUCCGCCUCCGCCAUCGGCGACAAGUGCGCCGCCUGCAAAGCCGUCGCGGCUGAGCUGGAGAUUGGAAUAUCAAGUGAGAAACCAAGAAAUCACUUGGACCUGCGUAACCGGUUAAAUUCGAAAGGUCAGCGUGAGGGGAAGGUCAUCGAUUACAGAGUCAGCGAGCUUCGGAUCGUAGAGCUUCUGGAUGACCUAUGUGAUAAGAUGCAAGACUAUACGCUACAGAAGUUGGAAUCAGGCGAAAAAGAGUGGGUGAAAGUAAAAAGCUGGAACAGUUUUGAAAAUAAGAAAGCUGCAGCACGAGCACACUCCAAAAAUCUAUCCAGUUACUGUGGAAGGUUACUGGAGGAAACUGAGGACGAGCUUGCUGAGUGGAUAAAAACAAGCUCGGGAGAAUCCGGGAACGUGAGCCAGGCCCUUUGCCAGGAUAUUAGCAAACACUGUCAGUCCACAAGUGCUACGGCCCCGGUCGACGAUGAACUAUAA